rnacentral:tRNA from 1 species
GGGCUCGUAGCUCAGUUGGGAGAGCGCGUCGUUCGCAAUGACGAGGUCAGGGGUUCGAUCCCCCUCGGGUCCA